rnacentral:rRNA from 1 species
UACGUAGGGUGCGAGCGUUGCCCGGAUUUAUUGGGCGUAAAGGGCGCGUAGGCGCCACGCACGUCCGUUGUGAAAUCGCCCGGCUCAACUGGGCGGGGUCGGCGGAUACGGCGUGGCUGGAGCAAGCUAGGGGGCAAUGGAAUUCCCGGUGUAGUGGUGGAAUGCGUAGAUAUCGGGAGGAACACCAGUGGCGAAGGCGGUUGCCUGGAGCUUUGCUGACGCUGAGGCGCGAAAGCUAGGGGAGCAAACAGGG